UCUUUCUAAAGACUUGAGGCUGGAGAAUAUAAGUGACGAGGAGACUCAUCCAGUUUGUCCUGAGGAUGGCCUGUUUUUAAGAGGCUCACCACAACGCAAAGAUGAAGAAGAA